UUUUUUAAAUAACAAGGACAUUCAUUGGCAUUUUUUUACUAGAAAAUUUCAGACUUUAUUUUUAUGAAUGAUGUCUUUAUAAAUCAGUUAAAAUGACUAUAAUUAAAAGUGUAUCUUAAUAAUGAUGUUGUUAUUUCACUUGGCGGUUGAAUUGUAAGUGAUUUCAGACUAUUCAACUUUGUAAUUAUGUUUUUAUGAGUUUAUCUUUUACGAGUUUUAUGAUUUUACUAUGUAAUUAUGUUUUUAUGAGUUUUUCGUGGUUUAAAAACUGUAUACAAAGAGUUCUUGUUUUUAUUUGCAAUCAUAUAAAUGCCAAUUCUAAUAAUUAUAUUAAAUUAACUAUGACUACUUCAAAAAACACAACUCUCUAUGGAAACAAAGUUAUCAACAUAUUUAGGCAGAAGUAAGGAUCUUAUUCCGUCAGAAGUGCCAACUUUAAGAGAUAUUUUGAGAAAAGGUCUGCUUAUCCAAGAAGCUCUACUUCAAGAAGAUGUUAACAGAAGGAAUAUUUGAUUGAGAGACUUUUCUCGACUACUAGCUGAUAUCGUUUUUCAGCAGUAGAUGAAAGCAAAUGCUCUUUUUAAACCUCCAGUGGUUAUUGGAAAGAACUUUGAUGGAAAAAAUUGAGUUUUCCUGGAACAAGAUCAAAGAUAUAGCACAUGGGAAAGUUUCUCAGACACACGUGUCUUUUUGGGAAUCAAAACUGGAUGAAUUUCUAGAUAUAACAUGUGCAAGUGUGAAAUUAUGUUAUGUAACGAGGAAAACUUUGCCCAAGCUUUAAUCAAAAAAAAAUUUUAGUAACCUUUUCAUAUCAAAAUCGUAAACCAAAACAUUUUUAUGACAAUAUUAUAACUUAAAUUUGUUUUGUAUUAAAUAUUGUAAAGCUAAACGAUGUUGUUAAGUUGAACUAUAAAAACUUCAUUCCAACAAAUAAAGUCUGAAAAUUUAUUAUGAAAAAAAUUCCAAUUUUUAUAUAUUUUUUCAAUCUUAUAAGGCCUUUUUCCCUGCGAAAAUUUAUUUUUUUUUAGAAAAAAAAAUUAUUUACAUU